CCGGUCUAAAUCUGGCAGGUUGUCCUCACGGAGGGAGGGGGCUUUUUUCAGAGGAUCUGGCGCCCUGCGCUCCGGCGCUCCGUUGCUCAGUCAGUCAGGCAGCUGCUGUUCUGCACACAUACACACAAGAGACACACAGGUCUGAAUGGUGAAAGGAAGGUAAAAGCGGCUACAGAAUCGCCUUUUACAGCGGAAUGUUCACUCGAAGGGGUUAUGGAGACGUCAAGAAAUCUACACAGAAAGUUCUGGACCCAAAGAAGGAUGUUUUCACGCGUCUGAAGCAUCUGCGCGCGCUGUUAGAUAUUACUGACAGGAAUGAACUGAAGGCAUUUUUUGAAACCAACUGCUCACAGAUUUAUUUUAUCUUCUAUGAAAAUUUCAUUACACUGGAAAGUAACUUAAAGCAAAAAGGGAACAAAUCUCAACGGGAGGAGCUGGACUCCAUCCUCUUUAUUUUUGAAAAAAUUCUGCAACUUCUACCUGAGAAAAUCAACAGUCGAUGGCAGUUUCACAGUAUAGGUUCUAUUCUCAAAAAACUUUUGCACACUGGAAACUCGUUCAAGAUCCGCUGUGAGGGCAUGCGUCUGUUCCUGCUCUGGCUGCAGGCUCUGCAGAGGAACUGUGCCGAAGAGCAGCUUCUCAUCUUCGCCUGUCUGAUCCCAGGAUUCCCUGCUGUACCCUCAUCCAGAGGACCCUGCACACUGGACACCAUCAUAUACAACCCCUUUUCCAACCCGCCUGAUGCCAAGAUUGUGCCAGAGGAGAUCAGCCCACUGGUGCCUGCGGUUCCUGGAGAGAAGGUGGCAGAAGACCACACCUGCUCUGUCCUCCAGAUUGUGCUCAAGGUCAUGGUUCUCCAGGCAUCCAGCUUGGACUGGAAAAACAAAGAGAGCCAAGACACAGGCUUCAGAUUUCUCUUUUCCCUGUUCAAGAAGUACUACCUGCCUCAACUCUUCCCCACUUUCACAAAACAAACCAACCUCUACAAGCCACAAUUAGAUCUUCCCAUUCACAGACCAAAGCCCCUCUACGUCCCUGUGACGCGUAACAGUGAGAGCACGUACUGCACUAGGGAUCAGUACCUGGCUCCCCGCGUGGCCUUCAUCACGUGGCUCGUUAACUUCUUCCUGGAGAAGAAGUAUGUGAACUCGGCCACGAGCAGCUCUAAGAACGGAGGAGAGGUCCUUCCUAAGAUCAUCCAGACUGUGACUGCGGGCGGGAUCAGUCAGGAGAAGAGCGCAGACUCUGAGCCCAACGGUCCUGUGGAACAGGAGAAGAAUCACUCCAACAGCAGCACGCUAUCAGACCGCCGGGGCAGCAACUCCAGUCUGUGUAGCAUCGAGGAGGAGCAUCGCACCGUCUACGACAUGGUGCAGUCCAUCCUGCUCUCCACACGAGACAACGUCAAUUUCGUCAAUGAGGUCUUCCAUCAGGCUUUCCUUCUGCCGGCCUGUGAAGCUUCAGCCACUCGCAAGGUGAUCAAAGUAUAUAGGAAGUGGAUUCUGCAGGAAAAACCUAAUUUCAUGGCUGAGCCUGAGACAACAAGCCAGGAGGAAGAUGGAGAGGAAGAGCACCUCAUCUCUGAGACGGACACUGCACACGUCUUGGAGACUCAUGGACACAAACGAUCAUCCAGUUGGGGGCGCACUUACUCCUUCAGCAGUGCCAUCAGCAGAGGCUGUCUGACUGAAGAACAGAACCAGGACAUGAAGGCUGGCAUCCAGCCCACCCUGCAGGUGUUCCUGACAAACUCUGCCAACGUGUUCUUGUUGGAGCCGUGUCAGGAUGUGCCCAAGCUGCUGGAGAACCAGCUGGAGGUGUGCCGAGCUGUGCUCAGUGUCUACCGGCACAUUAUUAUGGAGCAAAACAUGAACCGCCCGACCUGGGAGCAGUUGUUGCAGGUGUUGUUGAGAAUCACAGAAGCAGUAAUGAAGAGACCACAGGAGGACCAAAAAAAAGACACGUUCGCCCACAGCCUGGCCAGCAUCCUCUUCAAAACGAUCUUCGUGGCGUGGGUGCGGGCCAACCUGACCGUGUUUAUCUCUCGUGAGCUGUGGGACGAGCUGCUGGCUGUGCUGUCCUCUCUCAGCCACUGGGAGGAGCUGGUGUUCGAGUGGGCCAGCAUCAUGGACUCUCUCACCGCAGUACUGGCCCGUCACGUCUACAGCCUGGACCUCCACAACCUACCGCUGGACAAGCUCUCAGAGCAGAAGGAAAAGAAGCAGCGGGGCAGGGGAGUGAUGCAGGACUCCCAGAAGUCUACAGAUGCAGCACGGUCGUUCUCCUUGAGCUGGAGGAGCUCUGGAGAUCAGGUGGGCACUCAGGAACCCAUGAGGUUCCGCAGUGCCACCACCACUGGAGCUCCCGCUGUGGAGAAAGCUCGCAACAACGUUAGGCAGAAAGCUUCAGAUGUGGAGGAGUGUCAGCUGUCUGAAUGUGAGAUGGGGGAUGGAGACAGUCCUCUGCCCCGCAGCAGUAGCACCUCUGACAUCACACAGCAGAUCAACGACACCUUCCCAGGGAAAAGAGAGGGCGACGCUCCCACGGUCAGUAACAUUGCAUUGCCAUUGAUUUAUGAAAUGAUUCUUCACGUGCUAAUUGUAUUGAAGUUUUGUGGAUAUUCUCAGAUUCUGAUCCGGCAGAGCAGCAGUCCAGCAGAUCUGGAUUAUCCAGCAGACGGAGCUCCAGCAUUCCUGAAGAUUAAACUACGGGAGAAAAGUGAGAGUGUGAGCAGUGAGACGUCUAAUGGUUAUCUGAACGAUGCUGAGGUGGGUCUGCUGGCGUGGCACGCGGUCGAGGAGGAGCCGGACUCUCCCUCUACACAUGACAUGAGCAUGAGUGUUACUGUGGACACAGUGAGCCAGAGGAGCCUCCUAUCAUCCCCUCUGAACCUUGAUCCUACCCAGCACUCAUAUUGUGCCGCCCCUCCUCACUGUCCCCCAGUGUCUCCGGCUCUCCUCGUGCCUCAUGGCUGCUGUGAGGGCCCUCAGCUCCUGGAGGAUGCCAUGAAUGUGCCUCACCAUCUGGACAGCAGUGAGUUUCUGGCUGAUGACGUCAGCAUCAUCGCCGGCGGCAGUUUGACCGGUUGGCACGCCGACUCGGCCUUCGUUCUCUGGAGGAGGAUCUUGGGGAUUCUAGGUGAUGUGAACAGCAUCCGCUGUGCCCGCAUCCACGCCAAGGUCUUCAGUUACCUUUACGAGCUCUGGCACAAGCUGGCCAAGAUCAGAGAUAAUCUUGGGAUCAGAGUGGAGACAGACACAGCCGUGGCCAGACCCUUGUUCAUCCCUCCUCUGCGCAUGCUGGCCUCUUGGCUCUUCAAGGUAAUGCACAGACAUUUUCCAUCAGGAACGUUCUCUGCAGUUAGACUACAAGAGUGUGUAGCAGUCUGCAGUCUGGGGCUGUGGGUGUGUGAGGAGCUGAGACAAACAGAAACUCACCAUCAGGUCAAAGAUGCCAUUAACGUCCUGGGUGUCACGCUGAAGGUGAUUACAUUUGAUCUUAUUGUUGGAAAGAUUAUCUGGAAUGCAGUUGAGUCAUUUGAAACAACUCAUUUUCAAAUGACAAUUUCCAUCUUGAGUGUUCUCGUUCCCUUUCUUUUGCCAAAAUUAAGCUUCAGGAGAGGAACAAGGUUUCCAUCUCUAAAAGCAUGUGCUGAACUGUUGGGAGUUUAUGUGCUGCACACUUGUGUAUCAGGGUCUAACCUGCACACUCAACAGAGCCACUACCUCCUCAGCCUUGCUGAUCUGUCGACAGACUAUGAACCCUUCCUUACUUUAGGCAAUGUCAAGAGCUUUGAACCACCACCCAUCCACAAUGUUAUGGGAGACUUUGGAAAUCUCCUCACAGUGGCUGAAGAAAAGAAAAGGAGAAGCCUAGAGCUGAUUCCUCUGACUGCUCGGAUGGUAAUGACACACCUGGUCAAUCAUUUGGGCCACCAUCCUCUCAGUGGCGGCCCCGCUCUCUUAAACAGCCUGGUCAGUGAGAACCACGACAACCCCUACGUAGAGUCCUCCGAGCUCUCCUCUGAAGUCUUCAAAAGCCCCAAUCUGCAGCUCUUCGUCUUCAGUGACAGCACACUAGUCUCAUACCUGCAGAUCCCCUCUGACAGUUCCAGCACGGCCAACCCGAGGGAUCAUUCUUCUGAGGUCCGCGUCAUCAUCAGGGACAUCUCGGGAAAGUACUCGUGGGACGGCGGUGUUCUGUUCCGCACUUUGGACGGAACUGGCUUGAGUUUGGGUGGCAGCAGAGAUCAGUCGUCUCACGACGGCGCUCGCUCUGAAAAGCAGGGCUCCAUGCGCUCCAGUAAAUGCUCCUCUGAGCUGGAAGUGGAAGAUGGCGUGGAUGUGUUGGACCAGCUUCUGGAAGACCUUGGCCACAGCAGCCCCGAGUGCCUGCCGCAGCCCCAGCUGAGGCUCACCCAGCCGCCCUCUCCACCCAUCGGCAUGAACCCUGAGAUGGAAGGGCUCAUCAUGGAUGCCAUCCACAGACAGGCCAAGCAGGAGGACGAGGAGCUGGCCCGGCUACAGACCGAAGACCCCAGCAUCAGAGCAGAGAGACAGAGAGAGCCCACGCACCACGAGCCUAAAUCUGCUUUUUACCUCUGCAGACUUCUCCUCAACGACCUCGGCAUGAACUCAUGGGAUCGCAGAAAAAGCUUUCAUCUUCUAAAGAAGAACUCUAAGCUCUUGAGAGAGCUGAAGAAUUUAGACUCGAGGCAGUGUCGAGAGACGCACAAGAUUGCCGUGUUCUACAUUGGAGAAGGCCAGGAGGACAAAUACUCCAUUCUGUCCAACACAGAGGGCAGUCAGGCCUAUGAGGACUUUGUCUCUGGGCUGGGAUGGGAGGUGAAUCUGGCCACUCACUGUGGGUUUAUGGGUGGUUUGCAGAGAAACGGCAGCACAGGUAGCACGGCACCAUAUUACGCUACCUCCAACGUGGAGGUCAUCUUCCAUGUGUCGACUCGCAUGCCUUCUGACUCAGAUGACUCCAUCACCAAAAAGCUUCGUCACUUGGGAAACGAUGAAGUGCACAUUGUGUGGUCGGAGCACACGCGGGAUUACAGACGAGGAAUCAUUCCCACCGACUUCGGAGAUGUCCUCAUCAUCAUCUACCCCAUGAAAAACCACAUGUUCUUUGUUCAGAUCUUGAAAAAAACCCAGGUUCCUUUCUUUGGGCCUCUGUUCGACGGGGCGAUAGUGACUGGAACGCUGUUGCCGAGUCUGGUGCGGGCCACAUGCAUCAAUGCCAGCAGGGCUGUGAAGUCUCGACUGCCACUAUACCAGAGUUUUUAUGAGGAGAGGGCUCUCUACCUGGAGGCCAUCAUUCAGAACCACAAGGAGAACAUGACCUUUGAGGACUUUGCUGCCCAGGUCUUCUCGCCUUCCCCCAGCUACUGGCCAACGGGAGGUGCAGGUUCCCUCAGCUGCAGCACGAGCGCUGACCUCAGUGUUACUGUGACGACCAACGACUCCAGCGACCAGGUCUCACCCACUAUACCGCGCGCCUCUAAGAACCGGGUUUCUGGAAAGCUCCGCCGCUCGGCCAGCGCCAUCAGCAAGUCCUCUAACUGAACACUUCCUCCGGCCGUCAGACUGCAUUGUGGAUGAAUGUAUCAUUUGACUCUAAUGCUUUCCACCUGUUGUUGUUGUUGUUGUUUUUUCGUGUUGAUGCCGAGUAGCAGUGAAAGAUGUCGCAAAAUUAUGUAGCUUCCCCUGCCGUGAAGAAAGAUAAACUGAAUUUAUGCUGAACCGAAUCUGCGAAUGUGAAAUGAAUUGCAAUUUUCACAGCAAUGCUGCAUUUGGACUGCGAUUUGUCCCAAAAAUGUCCUUACGACCGAGUAGCGAAUGAAUAAUGUGAGACGUUUCAAAAACCCCGAGGCAUUAGCUAGUUUUUAAUACUCGCAAUCUUUGAGCUUUUCUUCAUGUCAAACACUGAAAACCGAAUCAUUGAUGCAUAUGGGAGCGACUUUUUGUCCCGCCGCAGCACUGAGACGCUCGUACAGCGCUUUGGGCCAGUCUGAGAAAACACUGGCACUCUUGAAUCAUCAUUCUACUUCAAUAAUGUAAUCAGUGGCAUCUAAAGUACAACAGACUGCAUUGAAAUCACUUUUGUUGUUAUGAUUUACUUUUAAGCUACUCGUUUGAUCAUUUUUACGGAACUGAUUUGUGCAACAUGCUGAAUGGAAAAGGCACAUGUUUGUAUUUCAGUCGAGCGUGUGCUGCUUCAUUUGUGAACUGAACCUGUCCCGUUCCUGUCAUGUAAAUCUACUCCGACAUUCCAAUGUUUUUGCACUCACUCGGUGGUGAAGAUAUGCCGCAGGUCGAAGUUUGUUGCGUUCUUCCCUCUGUAUUUGAAUGUACAUUGCUUUCGAUUUGAUUUGAUAAUAUAUAUAUAUUUGUUUCAUGUUGUGUUUGUGUAUAUAUAUAUAUAUAUAUAUAUGGAGAAAUAUCUGCCAUCGUACUAUACCUGACUAAACGGAUGAGAAGCCCCCAGCUCCUCAGGUGAAGCUGUGUGAAGGGAGCUGUCCACAGUGCCUGUGUAAUACCUGUCCGAGUUUUGCCGUUUUAAUUG
rnacentral:lncRNA from 1 species